rnacentral:rRNA from 1 species
UACAGAGGUCUCGAGCGUUAGGCGGAAUCACUGGGCUUAAAGCGUGUGUAGGCGGAUCGGUAAGUACCUUGUGAAAUCCCACAGCUUAACUGUGGAACUGCUUGGUAUACUGCCAGUCUUGAGCCACUUAGGGGCUACCGGAACAAAUGGUGGAGCGGUGAAAUGCGUAGAUAUCAGGAAGAACACCUAUGGCGAAGGCAGCUCUCUGGGACGGUACUGACGCUGAGACGCGAAAGCGUGGGGAGCGAACAGG